CAUUGGUCAAGCCUCAGGCGCAGAAACCAGACAAAUGAAGAUUGUCCAGUAGGAGCUCUUCUUCCCUUAUAGCUCUGUAUUCUUCUACUCCCUCUACUUCCUCUAUACAUAAAGACUAUCUUUGCCCAUUACCUUAGUUCUUCCUUCUCAGAGACUCAGAAAGAAUAAGAGAAGACUCAGGAUCCUACCCACCGCACCACCUCCCCAAGUUCCAAACUGAGGAGGUGAGGUGAGAUCUUGUCAUCCCCUAAGAGCCCAAACUGGUCCAAGAUGGUAAGAGAAGCCCCACUGCUGCUGUUUCUGCUGUUUCUGGAGAUCUCAGGUUCCAAGAAAGCAGAAACUAUUGAGGAGUACACAAAAGAGGAGGGGCAGACAUUGAAUGUAAACUGCUCAUAUCGGCCCUGGAACCUUAAGAGGGAGUUCAACGUGUGGUGUAAACUUCAAGAGAAUGGAAAGGAUUGUAACAAAUAUGUGUCCAUAAGAAAAAACUCAGUUUUCACUAAAGAAGGCAAAUUCUUCUUUAACAUGCUUGAUGAACCUAAGUCUGGCAAAAUCAUCAUCAUAAUGUCAGGGCUUAGGGUAAAGGACUCAGGACAUUACUUGUGUGUGGUCAUAGAGCAAAAUGCUGCCACUGUCCUCAAGAAAAUUCACCUAGAAGUGACUCCAGUACAGAGUACCACCAAAGGCGUUUCAAAUACUUCUAAGGUCCAUCAGACUACUGUGACCACCUACAGGAAGAAAAGAGAUCCAGGGAAUCCCAGUCUUUCAGAAAAAGAGAAAUUCAUCAUUUUGGGUAUGGCCCUUCCCUUCCUGCUUUUAUUGGGAGUCCUCAUUAUAGGAAUUGUGUAUAUCAAGAAACUCCACCAGAAAGUCAGGAAAGGUGACAACUUCCAAUACAUGUGUGAUAACUCUGAGUACAACAUGCAGAAACCUAGGGAUCCCAGCAUGGAGAUGGACAAUGGAGAGGAUCCUAGAGAUAUUCACUAUGCCUCACUGAACUAUAUUGGCCCCAGAGAAUCAAUGCACACCAACAUACUGAAGGGCUACAACUCUAAGACUAUGCAGAUCCCUCAUGAGUCUGUGGAAUAUGCCAGUAUCUUAAGGACUGGUUUUCAGCAUCCCAAAUCAAAUGCCCCAGUGGGCAGGGAGUGUUAGUCGUUUUUUAAGAGCUUAAUAAAAAUGUUCAUUGCUAAUAUGGAAAUAUGUUU
rnacentral:lncRNA from 1 species